UGGUGAAUAUUGGACAAUGGGCGCAAGCCUGAUCCAGCCAUGCCGCGUGCGUGAUGAAGGCCUUAGGGUUGUAAAGCUCUUUCACCGGAGAAGAUAAUGACGGUAUCCGGAGAAGAAGCCCCGGCUAACUUCGUGCCAGCAGCCGCGGUAAUACGAAGGUGGCUAGCGUUGUUCGGAAUUACUGGGCGUAAAGCGCACGUAGGCGGAUAUUUAAGUCAGGGGUGAAAUCCCAGAGCUCAACUCUGGAACUGCCUUUGAUACUGGGUAUCUUGAGUAUGGAAGAGGUAAGUGGAAUGCCGAGUGUAUAGGUGAAAUUCGUAGAUAUUCGGAGGAACACCAGUGGCGAAGGCGGCUUAAUGGUCCAUUACUGACGCUGAGGUGCGAAAGCGUGGGGAGCAAACA
rnacentral:rRNA from 1 species